ACUCAAUCAUGUGCAGAGGGCAACAGCAGGUUGUGCGUCUCUAUCAGAGACUACUACUGUUACAUGCUGCAGACACGGCCUGGAAUCUUCAAUCCCAUACUCUGUGGAGCACGCCUCUUGCAGCAAUGGGCGGUCGACAUGUACGUCAAGAUUGAAAGUUGUCGGUUGAGGUGGUACAGGAAAAACCAGACGCAGAUUCGUGCCGACUUGUAUAAAGGAGUUGUUGAUGCAAUCACAUCGGGGGAGACGCGAGCAAGCGCUGUUGGGGUAAGAAUAGUG
rnacentral:rRNA from 1 species